rnacentral:rRNA from 1 species
GACGAACGCUGGCGGCGUGCUUAACACAUGCAAGUCGAACGGAAAGGCCCUGCUUUUGUGGGGUGCUCGAGUGGCGAACGGGUGAGUAACACGUGAGUAACCUGCCCUUGACUUUGGGAUAACUUCAGGAAACUGGGGCUAAUACCGGAUAGGAGCUCCUGCUGCAUGGUGGGGGUUGGAAAGUUUGGGCGGUUGGGGAUGGACUCGCGGCUUAUCAGCUUGUUGGUGGGGUAGUGGCUUACCAAGGCUUUGACGGGUAGCCGGCCUGCGAGGGUGACCGGCCACAUUGGUACUGAGAUACGGCCCAGACUCCUACGGGAGGCAGCAGUGGGGAAUAUUGCACAAUGGGCGGAAGCCUGAUGCAGAAACGCCGCGUGCGGGAUGACGGCCUACGGGUGGUAAACCGCUUUCGCCGGUGACGAAGCGUGAGUGACGGUAAUGAGUAAAGAAGCACCGGCUAACUACGUG